AAUUUGCUUGACUAAAUCAUUUUGAUAAACUAACUAACUCGAAAUUGUUGAAUUGAAGUCAGCGUAUUUGGAACACAUAAGGGAUACUAGAUUGAAGUGAAUGGACUCCAACAAAAUCUAUUUGUUGAAGAAUUCCUUACCCUCU